rnacentral:rRNA from 1 species
UACGGGGGGGGCAAGCGUUGUUCGGAAUUACUGGGCGUAAAGGGCUCGUAGGCGGCCAACUAAGUCGGACGUGAAAUCCCUCGGCUUAACCGGGGAACUGCGUCCGAUACUGGAUGGCUUGAGUUUGGGAGAGGGAUGCGGAAUUCUUGGUGUAGCGGUGAAAUGCGUAGAUAUCAAGAGGAACACCUGAGGGGAAGACGGGUUGCUGGGCUGACACUGACGCUGAGGCGCGAAAGCCAGGGGAGCAAACGGG